rnacentral:rRNA from 1 species
CCGGAUUAGAUACCCUGGUAGUCCACGCCGUAAACGAUGUCUACUAGUCGUUGGGUCCCUUGAGGACUUAGUGACGCAGCUAACGCAAUAAGUAGACCGCCUGGGGAGUACGGCCGCAAGGUUAAAACUCAAAUGAAUUGACGGGGGCCCGCACAAGCGGUGGAGCAUGUGGUUUAAUUCGAUGCAACGCGAAGAACCUUACCUGGUCUUGACAUAUCUAGAAUCCUGCAGAGAUGCGGGAGUGCCUUCGGGAAUUAGAAUACAGGUGCUGCAUGGCUGUCGUCAGCUCGUGUCGUGAGAUGUUGGGUUAAGUCCCGCAACGAGCGCAACCCUUGUCCUUAGUUACCAGCGGGUUAAGCCGGGAACUCUAAGGAUACUGCCAGUGACAAACUGGAGGAAGGCGGGGACGACGUCAAGUCAUCAUGGCCCUUACGACCAGGGCUACACACGUGCUACAAUGGUAGGUACAGAGGGCAGCUACACAGCGAUGUGAUGCGAAUCUCAAAAAGCCUAUCGUAGUCCAGAUUGGAGUCUGCAACUCGACUCCAUGAAGUAGGUAUCGCUAGUAAUCGCGGAUCAGAAUGCCGCGGUGAAUACGUUCCCGGGCCUUGUACACACCGCCCGUCACACCAUGGGAGUUGAUUGCACCAGAAGUGGUUAGCCUAACCGUAAGGAAGGCGAUCACCACGGUGUGGUUGAUGACUGGGG